rnacentral:rRNA from 1 species
UGGGGAAUUUUGGACAAUGGGCGAAAGCCUGAUCCAGCCAUGCCGCGUGAGUGAAGAAGGCCUUCGGGUUGUAAAGCUCUUUUAGUCGGAAAGAAAGAGUUGCAAUGAAUAAUUGUGAUUUAUGACGGUACCGACAGAAAAAGCACCGGCUAACUACGUGCCAGCAGCCGCGGUAAUACGUAGGGUGCGAGCGUUAAUCGGAAUUACUGGGCGUAAAGGGUGCGCAGGCGGUCUUGCAAGUCAGAUGUGAAAGCCCCGGGCUUAACCUUGGAAUUGCGUUUGAAACUACAAGGCUAGAGUGCAGCAGAGGGGAGUGGAAUUCCAUGUGUAGCAGUGAAAUGCGUAGAGAUGUGGAAAAACACCGAUGGCGAAGGCAGCUCCCUGGGUUGACACUGACGCUCAUGCACGAAAGCGUGGGGAGCAAACA